rnacentral:rRNA from 1 species
UACCAGCACCCGAGUGGUCGGACGUUUAUUGGGCCUAAAGCAUCCGUAGCCGGUUCUACAAGUCUUCCGUUAAAUCCACCUGCUUAACAGAUGGGCUGCGGAAGAUACUAUAGAGCUAGGAGGCGGGAGAGGCAAGCGGUACUCGAUGGUAGGGUAAAUCCGUUGAUCCAUUGAAGACCACCAGUGGCGAAGGCGGCUUGCCAGAACGCGCUCGACGGUG